CAUUUGUGACAUCAGUGUGUGCUCACAGGGUACACCUGUGCAACAUAUGUGUAUACACAUGCACACACACACACACACACA
rnacentral:miRNA from 1 species